CCACUCCGCAUUCAUUAAUACAUGUCUGUCCACAGCAGUGCACAGUUCUGCUCAGAGAAUAUCUGGGAAGUGUAUGCACGUACUUAUUUAUUUAUGCAUGCUGGAAUCCCUGCAGCCGAGUUGGUGCCACGCAGAACCCACGAAACAGUUCAGAGCGAUGAACGUAUGAACUCGAGGUCAGUUGUGCCCAAGUUUUAUUUUCAAGUUUUUAUGUUUUCUGCUUAUUUUAAAUUGUGAACUGCACUAUUCUCACAAUCCACCGGGUAGUCCACCCCUCACACCUGCAAACAGUUGUCUGGGGCGAUAAUGAACUCAUUAAGGAUGGGGGAGAGGGAAGUCUAAAAACAAGCCCAUUUUCAUUCUGGAAUGUGCAGUACUCGGUUUGGAAUGGUAGAUAUGCCUUGAUGUGCUAACGUAUUAAUGCUGAGAUUCUGCUGUGUCAACAGCUGGCUUAUUAAAUGGUAAAAGAUGUUCGUGUUAUAAAGCUCUAUUUUCAGCACUUGUGUCUGUGAGUAUCACAAGCAGUAGUGUACUAUCAGUAGCACAAGUAGAAUUACCAAGAGGCCGACGGACAUCUGGCUGCACUGAUUAAGGGAGGUGCUGUAAACUCACAGACUAAGAAACAGGAGGAAAAUUGGGCUAAAACCCAGACACAACCACCCCAAAAAGAAACAAGUGAGAAAAAAACAAACACUACCUUAAGUUUCCUUCACACAUUUGCUGAAUACUGCAGACCGCACCGGAGUGACUCCACGUGUCCUUAUGUUUCUUCGACUACUUGUGUUACACAGCCUUCUGGGAGGGGGGUCCUGCUGUCUGUUUAGCAAAGGAGCCUGUAAUGUUGCCUGUGAUGACAGCGAUUUGUAAAGAAACAGAAUCGGGGGUCUGCUCUGGAAUCCCCCUGGAGCCUGCCUUGGACCAGACCCUGGCCAAACCUGGGUCAACCUGGGUCAACUACACAUCUGAAAUACUGUACCUCUUUCGAUAGCUCUCUGGACCCGGAUUUUAACUCUUUAGAUGCCUCCAAAAUAUAAAAAUACUGCUGACAAUGUUCAUUAAAACAUGUUACUUACUAAAAUGUACAAUCAUAUGAAAGACUUGAAAAUAUUUGUGAGAAUAGUUGUUCCUUUAUAAAAAAAAUCUCCAUGCAUA